rnacentral:rRNA from 1 species
UACGAAGGGGGCUAGCGUUGUUCGGAGUUACUGGGCGUAAAGGGCGCGUAGGCGGCUUCGCUAGUCGGGCGUGAAAUGCCUGGGCUUAACCCGGGAAUUGCGUUCGAUACUUCGAGGCUAGAGUGUGGGAGAGGUUGGUGGAAUUCCCAGUGUAGAGGUGAAAUUCGUAGAUAUUGGGAAGAACACCGGUGGCGAAGGCGGCCAACUGGACCACAACUGACGCUGAGGCGCGAAAGCGUGGGGAGCAAACAGG